AAAAAUCUGGAAAUUUUAUGGAUCUUUAUUGCUUUUACGCUUACUAAUUAAUCUUUUCUUGCACAAUUAAAUGAGGUAUUUUUUCCCAAUUCAAAGCUUCACCUGCAGUACCUCUGCGAAGCAUGUAGUUAAUCAAUUAUCUUUUCAUUGUAAAUCCAUUUAUAUCGAUGGUCAAAUUUCUUAGAGUUCCCCCAUCUCACCGUCGCCCAGAUCGCUAUCGCAUGUCCAGCCAUGGUGGCAAACUCACAGCAACAAAUCCAUAUAUUCUCCAAAAUCUCCCUCAAAUCUUCCUACAACCCAGAGU
rnacentral:misc_RNA from 1 species